rnacentral:rRNA from 1 species
GAUGAACGCUGGCGGCGUGCCUAAUACAUGCAAGUCGAACGGGGAGUAGCAAUACUCUUAGUGGCGAACGGGUGAGUAACGCGUUGGUACCUGCCCCGAAGCGGGGGAUAACGGACCGAAAGGUCCGCUAAUACCCCAUGUGCUCGGUAACGAGUAAAGGUGAAAACCACUUUGGGAGGGGCAUGCGUCCCAUCAGCUAGUUGGUAAGGUAACGGCUUACCAAGGCGAUGACGGGUAGGGGACCUGAGAGGGUGGCCCCCCACAAUGGAACUGAAACACGGUCCAUAAACCUACGGGUGGCAGCAGUAGGGAAUAUUGGUAAUGGGCGCAAGCCUGAACCAGCAACGCCGCGUGUGCGAUGACGGCCUUCGGGUUGUAAAGCACUUUUGACUGGGACGAGGAAGGACGGUACCGGUCGAAUCAGCCUCGGCUAACUACGUG